rnacentral:rRNA from 1 species
AAUUGGAGGGCAAGUCUGGUGCCAGCAGCCGCGGUAAUUCCAGCUCCAAUAGCGUAUAUUAAAGUUGUUGCAGUUAAAAAGCUCGUAGUUGAACUUCGGGAUCAAUUGAUCGGUCAUGCCUUGGUAUGUACUGGUCAUAUUGGUUCUCACCUUCUAAUGAACCUUAAUGUCAUUCACUUGAUGUUUUGGGGAAUUAGGACUGUUACCUUGAAAAAAUUAGAGUGUUUAAAGCAGGCUUACGCUUGAAUACAUUAGCAUGGAAUAAUGAAAUAGGACAUCGCAUUCUAUUUUGUUGGUUUCUAGGAUCGAUGUAAUGAUUAAUAGGGAUAGUUGGGGGCAUUAGUACUCAAUUGUCAGAGGUGAAAUUCUUGGAUUUAUUGAAGACUAACUACUGCGAAAGCAUUUGCCAAGGAUGUUUUCAUUAAUCAAGAACGAAAGUUAGGGGAUCGAAGACGAUCAGAUACCGUCGUAGUCUUAACCAUAAACUAUGCCGACUAGGGAUCGGAUGAUGUUAAUUUUUAAAUGACUCAUUCGGCACCUUACGGGAAACCAAAGUGU